UGGGGAAUUUUGGACAAUGGGCGCAAGCCUGAUCCAGCCAUGCCGCGUGCGGGAAGAAGGCCUUCGGGUUGUAAACCGCUUUUGUCAGGGAAGAAAUCUUCUGAGUUAAUACCUCGGGAGGAUGACGGUACCUGAAGAAUAAGCACCGGCUAACUACGUGCCAGCAGCCGCGGUAAUACGUAGGGUGCAAGCGUUAAUCGGAAUUACUGGGCGUAAAGCGUGCGCAGGCGGUUUUGUAAGACAGAGGUGAAAUCCCCGGGCUCAACCUGGGAACUGCCUUUGUGACUGCAAGGCUUGAGUGCGGCAGAGGGGGAUGGAAUUCCGCGUGUAGCAGUGAAAUGCGUAGAUAUGCGGAGGAACACCGAUGGCGAAGGCAAUCCCCUGGGCCUGCACUGACGCUCAUGCACGAAAGCGUGGGGAGCAAACAGGAUUAGAUACCCUGGUAGUCCACGCCCUAAACGAUGUCAACUAGUUGUUGGGGGAUUCAUUUCCUUAGUAACGUAGCUAACGCGUGAAGUUGACCGCCUGGGG
rnacentral:rRNA from 1 species